rnacentral:rRNA from 1 species
CCUACGGGAGGCAGCAGUGAGGAAUAUUGGUCAAUGGGCGUAAGACUGAACCAGCCAAGUCGCGUGAGGGAUGAAGGUACUAUGGAUCGUAAACCUCUUUUAUAAGGGAAUAAAGUGUGGGACGUGUCCCGUUUUGAAUGUACCUUAUGAAUAAGGAUCGGCUAACUCCGUGCCAGCAGCCGCGGUAAUACGGAGGAUCCGAGCGUUAUCCGGAUUUAUUGGGUUUAAAGGGUGCGUAGGCGGCCUUUUAAGUCAGCGGUGAAAGUCUGUGGCUCAACCAUGGAAUUGCCGUUGAAACUGGUAGGCUUGAGUAUGGUAGAGGCAGGCGGAAUGCGUGGUGUAGCGGUGAAAUGCUUAGAUAUCGCGCAGAACCCCGAUUGCGAAGGCAGCCUGCCAAGCCAUGACUGACGCUGAGGCACGAAAGCGUGGGGAUCGAACAGGAUUAGAUACCCCAGUAGUC